CCUACGGGAGGCAGCAGUGGGGGAUAUUGCACAAUGGGGGGAACCCUGAUGCAGCGACGCCGCGUGGGUGAAGAAGCGCCUCGGCGCGUAAAGCCCUGUCAGCAGGGAAGAAAAUGACGGUACCUGAAGAAGAAGCCCCGGCUAAUGACGUGCCAGCAGCCGCGGUAAUACGUAGGGGGCAAGCGUUAUCCGGCUUUUCUGGGUGUAAAGGGGGCGCAGACGGCGAUGCAAGCCAGGAGUGAAAGCCCGGGGCCCAACCCCGGGACUGCUCUUGGAACUGCGUGGCUGGAGUGCUGGAGGGGCAGGUGGAAUUCCGGGUGUAGCGGUGAAAUGCGUAGAUAUCAGGAGGAACACCAGUGGCGAAGGCGGCCUGCUGGACUGCAACUGACGUUGAGGCCCGAAAGCGUGGGGAGCAAACAGGAUUAGAUACCCGGGUAGUC
rnacentral:rRNA from 1 species